GGCCUUGUGGUGCUUACCACAGUUUGUGUUCUUUAAAUUGACUGUACUGAAAAGGAGGCACAGUAAAACAUCCUAUAUGCACCUCAGCCCAGACCCUUUGCAAGGUCUAUAUUAUGAACAGUAAAACAUAA